UCUCCUAUAGCUCAGUGGUAGAGCGUCCGACCGGUGUGCGGAAGGGUCACAGGUUCGACUCCUGUUGGGAGAA
rnacentral:tRNA from 1 species